rnacentral:lncRNA from 1 species
GUUAAUCAUUUUACUUUUUUCUUUUUAAAUUAUUUUACGAGUGUUCCGCUGUUCAUCUGUAGUGUCAAUAUAGUGUUGACUUUAACGUCCACCUGGUUUGACUUCGAUUUGACAUAAUAUGAACGGCUUUGUAUCCAUUUGUUGAAGAAUUGUACAUUAAUUAAUUUAAUUUAAAUUAUUUUAACUGUUAUCCUUUUUGACAGUUAUCUAUUGCGGUUGGAACAAUUAUUUCAGGAAAUUAGUCAAAAAAGAGAUGGAGUAGUACAAUCAGGAGCACUCAUUCUAGAGCUUUUUGUUCAUAUGUGCAUAUAUUUUUUUCUUAGGCGAUUUUGUGGAAAAAUAAUUACUAGAUGGUUUGAAUUUAUGCGACUGUAUUUGACUGAGCAAAGAGCUUAAGAAGUUGAUUUUACGUUUAUAUUGUAUUAAUGGAUCUGGAAGAAAACGUUAGAGUAACGGGAUCUUUGACUAUUUAAGUAAGAUGUUUAUAUUGCUCUUUUUUUUUUGUAGAUUCGUUUUUUUUUUCAUGUUGAAAUUCAAACUAGUUAGUUCAUUGGGAGCUGAAAUCCUUUCUUUUUUUUAAAAUCAGAGAUUAGUUUCGUUUUUUUGUUAAUCAUUUUACUUUUUUCUUUUUAAAUUAUUUUACGAGUGUUCCGCCGUUCAUCUGUAGUGUCAAUAUAGUGUUGACUUUAACGUCCACCUGGUUUGACUUCGAUUUGACAUAAUAUGAACGGCUUUGUAUCCAUUUGUUGAAGAAUUGUACAUUAAUUAAUUUAAUUUAAAUUAUUUUAACUGUUAUCCUUUUUGACAGUUAUCUAUUGCGGUUGGAACAAUUAUUUCAGGAAAUUAGUCAAAAAAGAGAUGGAGUAGUACAAUCAGGAGCACUCAUUCUAGAGCUUUUUGUUCAUAUGUGCAUAUAUUUUUUUCUUAGGCGAUUUUGUGGAAAAAUAAUUACUAGAUGGUUUGAAUUUAUGCGACUCUAUUUGACUGAGCAAAGAGCUUAAGAAGUUGAUUUUACGUUUAUAUUGUAUUAGUGGAUCUGGAAGAAAAUGUUAGAGUAACGGUUGAAAAGUUAGUUUAAAAGUCAAAAUAUCAGAUCCAAGUUUAAAUUUGAUAGUUAAAUUAAUAUGAAUUGUUGAUGGCUGUGGAAGUUGUGCAGAAAUGGGAUGAUAUCAAAUUAUUUUGAGAUGUUUCAAAAAUGGAAAUUGUGUCGUAUAAAUUGGAAUGGAAGGAGUAUUACAUUCUUAUAUGUGUUAUGGAAUGAGUAGUGUAC